rnacentral:tRNA from 1 species
GAGGGAAGCAGCUCAGUGGCAGAGCACAUGCUUAGCAUGCACAAGGUCCUGGGUUCAAUCCCCAGUCCCUCCA